rnacentral:tRNA from 1 species
UCUAAAAUAGCUUAAUAAUAAAGCACUGACUUUGUAACUCAGAGAUAAACAACAAUUUUUUUAGAUCCA